AUUGAACGCUGGCGGCAUGCCUUACACAUGCAAGUCGAACGGUAACGGGUCCUUCGGGAUGCCGACGAGUGGCGAACGGGUGAGUAAUAUAUCGGAACGUGCCCAGUAGUGGGGGAUAACUGCUCGAAAGAGCAGCUAAUACCGCAUACGACCUGCGGGUGAAAGGGGGGGAUAGCAAGACCUCUCGCUAUUGGCGCGGCCGAUAUCAGAUUAGCUAGUUGGUGGGGUAAAGGCCUACCAAGGCAACGAUCUGUAGUUGGUCUGAGAGGACGACCAGCCACACUGGGACUGAGACACGGCCCAGACUCCUACGGGAGGCAGCAGUGGGGAAUUUUGGACAAUGGGCGCAAGCCUGAUCCAGCAAUGCCGCGUGCAGGAAGAAGGCCUUCGGGUUGUAAACUGCUUUUGUCAGGGAAGAAAUCUUCUGGGCUAAUACCCCGGGAGGAUGACGGUACCUGAAGAAUAAGCACCGGCUAACUACGUGCCAGCCGCCGCAGUAA
rnacentral:rRNA from 1 species